UGUCACAACUCAAGACUCUUUUUUAUAACUAAUUGUUUUCAUAAUAAGUUUCUAAAACCUUUGCUCAGACUCCAAAAUAAGAGGCAUUAGGUAGCAGCUUGCCCAAUUCUUCCAAUAUAUUGCGAUCAUUAUAAAGGGAUCAACUGUCAAUCUGAAUUACACUGUUUGGUAUUGUCCGAAUCCGUGGAAUUCCAUUGCUGAGCUGUUAUGGAUGUGACACACGACACACACAUGAGCCCCGUGAUUGAAUGUAUCUAUAUCUACAUAUUUCUUCGAAAAAUGCGACCGCUCCCAUGUUCGCUGCGAUUAAUUAAGUUCAUUGGGUCGGAGCGCACACAUUUAUUUAU